UAUUUCCUUAAGAUAAAUUUCUCAAAGAAGAAUAACAUUUAUCUAGAUGGAUAUUUACCAAAUUCCACCUCACUCCCUCAGAAUUUGAUGCCUCUUUCCCAGGUCCUUAUGAACAUUCUCAAUGACAGUGUUUAAAAGUGUUGGUUUUCCCUUUUCUUCAUCAACACUAGGUAUUGCCAUUUGUUAGCAUAAAGAGUAUAAUCUUUGCCAUUCUGAUAUAUAGAAAAACAGUUACAUAUCACUUUAAUUUGUAUUUCUUCAACAGCUAGUAGAGCAAAGUCUUUUAUUACAUGUUUCUGGUCAUUUGUAAUUGCUUCUGGCAACAAACAAACAAAAAACCUUAAGCAAUUUUUUAAAAGCCCAUGACAUUUUAUUUUAAAGGUCCAUUUUAAAGCAAAAAAGUAAAAUUGAAUCAUUGCCAUAAUCAGAUUACUUUUAAUUAAAGCAUUUCACACCUAGAGCCCUCUUGGGAAGGUAUGAAGUUUUUACUUCAACUAAUAAUCCAUUCUUCUGUAACCUAAAUGGUUCCUAUUUGAACAAUGAAACAUGCAUUAUUCCUUUAGGACACAUGAUCAGUAGCCUCGGGAUAAAAACAAAACCAGAAAUAUUCAGUGUUUGGAUAGAUAAAAUGGCAACAACAUUUCUUCCUCUGAUUAUAUCUGCUUCAUCUGCAUGCAGUUUUGCAUUGGGCAAUAGAUCUUGUGUUUCAAUACUGAUUGGUAUGAAUUCCAAAA
rnacentral:lncRNA from 10 species